AGAGCGAACGCUGGCGGCAGGCCUAACACAUGCAAGUCGAGCGCCCGUAGCAAUACGGGAGCGGCAGACGGGAUAGUAACACGUGGGAACGCGCCCUUCGGUUCGGAAUAACUCAGGGAAACUUGAGCUAAUACCGGAUACGCCCUUACGGGGAAAGAUUUAUUGCCGAAGGAACGGCCCGCGUCCGAUUAGCUAGUUGGUGAGGUAAUGGCUCACCAAGGCGACGAUCGGUAGCUGGUCUGAGAGGAUGACCAGCAUCACUGGGACUGAGACACGGCCCAGACUCCUACGGGAGGCAGCAGUGGGGAAUAUUGGACAAUGGGCGCAAGCCUGACGCAGCGACGCCGCGUGAGGGAUGAAGGCCUUCGGGUUGUAAACCUCUUUCAGCAGGGACGAAGCGAAAGUGACGGUACCUGCAGAAGAAGCACCGGCUAACUACGUGCCAGCAGCCGC
rnacentral:rRNA from 1 species